rnacentral:rRNA from 1 species
CCCCUAGAUGUUCUGGGCCGCACGCGCGCUACACUGAACAGUUCAACAAGUCUUAACCUUGGCCGAUAGGUCUGGGUAAUCUUUGAACGCUGUUCGUGAUUGGGAUAGACCUUUGCAAUUAUGGGUCUUCAACGAGGAAUUCCUAGUAAACGCAAGUCAUCAGCUUGCAUUGAUUACGUCCCUGCCCUUUGUACACACCGCCCGUCGCACCUACCGAUUGAAUGGUCCGGUGAAAUCUCGGGACGGCGGCUCGGUCGCUUGUGUCCGACUGCUGAAACUUGAUUAAACCAUAUCAUUUAGAGGAAGGUGAAGUCGUAACA